rnacentral:tRNA from 1 species
AUGUGGCUCAAUGGUAGAGCACUUGCUUAGCAUGCAUCAGGCCCUGGGUUCAAUCCCAAGCAU